rnacentral:rRNA from 1 species
UACGAACCGUACAAACGUUAUUCGGAAUCACUGGGCUUAAAGGGUGCGUAGGCGGCCAUGUAAGUGAGGUGUGAAAUCCCUCGGCUUAACCGGGGAACUGCGUCUGAUACUGGAUGGCUUGAGUUUGGGAGAGGGAUGCGGAAUUCCAGGUGUAGCGGUGAAAUGCGUAGAUAUCUGGAGGAACACCGGUGGCGAAGGCGGCAUCCUGGACCAACACUGACGCUGAGUGAGCGAAAGCCAGGGGAGCAAACGGG